UGGGGAAUUUUGCACAAUGGGGGAAACCCUGAUGCAGCGACGCCGCGUGAUUAAGAAGGCCUUCGGGUUGUAAAAAUCUUUUCUAUGGGAAGAAAAUGACAGUACCAUAGGAAUAAGGACCGGCUAAUUACGUGCCAGCAGCCGCGGUAAUACGUAAGGUCCGAGCGUUGUCCGGAAUCAUUGGGCGUAAAGGGUACGUAGGCGGGUAAGCAAGUUAGAAGUGAAAUCCUAUAGCUCAACUAUAGUAAGCUUUUAAAACUGCUCAUCUUGAGGUAUGGAAGGGAAAGUGGAAUUCCUAGUGUAGCGGUGAAAUGCGCAGAUAUUAGGAGGAAUACCGGUGGCGAAGGCGACUUUCUGGCCAUAACCUGACGCUGAGGUACGAAAGCGUGGGUAGCAAACAGG
rnacentral:rRNA from 1 species